CUCUGUGGCAAUUCCACCCUGAACGCUCCUGAUCUCAUCUGAUCUUAGAAGAUAACCAGUGUCAGGCCUGGUUAGUACUUGAAUGGGGGGUUUUACCUUCUUAAGGAGGUAUAGUCUAUUAGUUAUAGAUA
ensembl:rRNA predicted gene, 22853